rnacentral:rRNA from 1 species
GUAGGGGGCAAGCGUUGUCCGGAUUUAUUGGGCGUAAAGAGCGCGUAGGCGGCUUGCCAAGUCGUGCGUGAAAUACCUCGGCUCAACCGAGGGGGGUCGUGCGAUACUGGUAGGCUCGAGGCCGGUAGGGGGAAGCGGAAUUCCCGGUGUAGUGGUGGAAUGCGUAGAUAUCGGGAGGAACACCAGUGGCGAAGGCGGCUUCCUGGACCGGUCCUGACGCUGAGGCGCGAAAGCGUGGGGAGCGAACUGAAUUAGAUACUCAGGUAGUCCACGCUGUAAACGAUGGGUGCUAGGUGUCGGGGGUAUCGACCCCUCCGGUGCCGCAGCUAACGCAUUAAGCACCCCGCCUGGGGAGUACGGCCGCAAGGCUA